CGCUUUCACUCCUACGGGAGGCAGCAGUGGGGGAAUCUUGGACAAUGGGGGCAACCCUGAUCCAGCCAUGCCGCGUGAGUGAUGAAGGCCUUAGGGUCGUAAAGCUCUUUCGCCUGUGAUGAUAAUGACAGUAGCAGGUAAAGAAACCCCGGCUAACUCCGUGCCAGCAGCCGCGGUAAUACGGAGGGGGUUAGCGUUGUUCGGAAUUACUGGGCGUAAAGCGCGCGUAGGCGGAUUAGUCAGUUAGAGGUGAAAUCCCAGGGCUCAACCCUGGAACUGCCUUUAAUACUGCUAGUCUUGAGUUCGAGAGAGGUGAGUGGAAUUCCGAGUGUAGAGGUGAAAUUCGUAGAUAUUCGGAGGAACACCAGUGGCGAAGGCGGCUCACUGGCUCGAUACUGACGCUGAGGUGCGAAAGUGUGGGGAGCAAACAGGAUUAGAUACCCUGGUAG
rnacentral:rRNA from 1 species